AGCGAACGCUGGCGGCAGGCCUAACACAUGCAAGUCGAACGAACCUUUCGGGGUUAGUGGCGGACGGGUGAGUAACACGUGGGAACGUGCCUUUAGGUUCGGAAUAACUCAGGGAAACUUGUGCUAAUACCGAAUGUGCCCUUCGGGGGAAAGAUUUAUCGCCUUUAGAGCGGCCCGCGUCUGAUUAGCUAGUUGGUUGAGGUAAUGGCUCACCAAGGCGACGAUCAGUAGCUGGUCUGAGAGGAUGAUCAGCCACAUUGGGACUGAGACACGGCCCAAACGAGGGGGGGAGCCAGCAGAACGGACUCGUGCGCAAUGGGCGGAAGCCUGAUGGAGCAAAGCGGCGUGAGUCAUGAGGGUCCCCGGACAGGAAAACGCUGUUAUCAGGGAAGAAAAAAUUUGUUCGGAAGGAUGAACGGCGUGCCGCUACCGAAACAGAAAGCCACGGCUAACUACGGG
rnacentral:rRNA from 1 species